AUUGAACGCUGGCGGAAUGCUUUACACAUGCAAGUCGAACGGUAGAGGGGGCAACCCCUCGAGAGUGGCGAACGGGUGAGUAAUAUAUCGGAACGUGCCCAGUCGUGGGGGAUAACGUAGCGAAAGCUACGCUAAUACCGCAUACGAUCUAAGGAUGAAAGCGGGGGAACGCAAGACCUCGCGCGAUUGGAGCGGCCGAUAUCAGAUUAGGUAGUUGGUGGGGUAAAGGCUCACCAAGCCAGCGAUCUGUAGCUGGUCUGAGAGGACGACCAGCCACACUGGAACUGAGACACGGUCCAGACUCCUACGGGAGGCAGCAGUGGGGAAUUUUGGACAAUGGACGCAAGUCUGAUCCAGCCAUUCCGCGUGCAGGAUGAAGGCCCUCGGGUUGUAAACUGCUUUUGUACGGAACGAAAAGGUCUCUCUUAAUACGGGGGACUCAUGACGGUACCGUAAGAAUAAGCACCGGCUAACUACGUGCCAGCAGCCGCGGUAA
rnacentral:rRNA from 1 species